GACAGAGGGUGCAAACGUUGUUCGGAAUUACUGGGCAUAAAGCGCACGUAGGUGGUCCGCUAAGUCGCGUGUGAAAUCCCCCGGCUCAACCGGGGAAAUGCGCGUGAUACUGGCGGGCUUGAGAUCGGGAGGGGUGAAUGGAACUCCAGGUGGAGCGGUGAAAUGCGUAGAUAUCAGGAGGAACACCGGUGGUGUAGACGGCUUUCUGGACCGUAACUGACGCUGAGACACGAAAGCGUGGGUAGCAAACAGG
rnacentral:rRNA from 1 species